rnacentral:rRNA from 1 species
AUGCAAGUCGAACGGUGAAGGUGGAGCUUGCUCUGCUGGAUCAGUGGCGAACGGGUGAGUAACACGUGAGCAAUCUGCCCCUGACUCUGGGAUAAGCGCUGGAAACGGCGUCUAAUACUGGAUAUGAGCUGCGAUCGCAUGGUCUGCAGUUGGAAAGAUUUUUCGGUCAGGGAUGAGCUCGCGGCCUAUCAGCUUGUUGGUGAGGUAAUGGCUCACCAAGGCGUCGACGGGUAGCCGGCCUGAGAGGGUGACCGGCCACACUGGGACUGAGACACGGCCCAGACUCCUACGGGAGGCAGCAGUGGGGAAUAUUGCACAAUGGGCGGAAGCCUGAUGCAGCAACGCCGCGUGAGGGAUGACGGCCUUCGGGUUGUAAACCUCUUUUAGCAGGGAAGAAGCGAAAGUGACGGUACCUGCAGAAAAAGCGCCGGCUAACUACGUGCCAGCAGCCGCGGUAAUACGUAGGGCGCAAGCGUUAUCCGGAAUUAUUGGGCGUAAAGAGCUCGUAGGCGGUUUGUCGCGUCUGCUGUGAAAUCCCGAGGCUCAACCUCGGGCCUGCAGUGGGUACGGGCAGACUAGAGUGCGGUAGGGGAGAUUGGAAUUCCUGGUGUAGCGGUGGAAUGCGCAGAUAUCAGGAGGAACACCGAUGGCGAAGGCAGAUCUCUGGGCCGUAACUGACGCUGAGGAGCGAAAGGGUGGGGAGCAAACAGGCUUAGAUACCCUGGUAGUCCACCCCGUAAACGUUGGGAACUAGUUGUGGGGACCAUUCCACGGUUUCCGUGACGCAGCUAACGCAUUAAGUUCCCCGCCUGGGGAGUACGGCCGCAAGGCUAAAACUCAAAGGAAUUGACGGGGACCCGCACAAGCGGCGGAGCAUGCGGAUUAAUUCGAUGCAACGCGAAGAACCUUACCAAGGCUUGACAUAUACGAGAACGGGCCAGAAAUGGUCAACUCUUUGGACACUCGUAAACAGGUGGUGCAUGGUUGUCGUCAGCUCGUGUCGUGAGAUGUUGGGUUAAGUCCCGCAACGAGCGCAACCCUCGUUCUAUGUUGCCAGCACGUCAUGGUGGGAACUCAUGGGAUACUGCCGGGGUCAACUCGGAGGAAGGUGGGGAUGACGUCAAAUCAUCAUGCCCCUUAUGUCUUGGGCUUCACGCAUGCUACAAUGGCCGGUACAAAGGGCGGCAAUACCGUAAGGUGGAGCGAAUCCCAAAAAGCCGGUCCCAGUUCGGAUUGAGGUCUGCAACUCGACCUCAUGAAGUCGGAGUCGCUAGUAAUCGCAGAUCAGCAACGCUGCGGUGAAUACGUUCCCGGGUCUUGUACACACCGCCCGUCAAGUCAUGAAAGUCGGUAACACCUGAAGCCGGUGGCCUAACCCUUU